UGGGGAAUAUUGGGCAAUGGAGGCAACUCUGACCCAGCAACGCCGCGUGAGGGAAGAAGGUUUUCGGAUUGUAAACCUCUGUCCUAGGGGACGAAGAAAGUGACGGUACCCUAGGAGGAAGCCCCGGCUAACUACGUGCCAGCAGCCGCGGUAAUACGUAGGGGGCGAGCGUUGUCCGGAAUUACUGGGCGUAAAGGGUGCGUAGGCGGUUUGGUAAGUUAGAUGUGAAAUCCCCGGGCUUAACUCGGGAGUUGCAUUUAAAACUGCUGAACUAGAGUGCAGGAGAGGAAAGCGGAAUUCCUAGUGUAGCGGUGAAAUGCGUAGAUAUUAGGAGGAACACCAGUGGCGAAUGCGGCUUUCUGGACUGUAACUGACGCUGAGGCACGAAAGCUAGGGGAGCAAACG
rnacentral:rRNA from 1 species